GCAAGGCCUUGCGCUCUUUGAGCGGCCGAUGUCAGAUUAGCUAGUUGGUGAGGUAACGGCUUACCAAGGCGACGAUCUGUAGCGGGUCUGAGAGGAUGAUCCGCCACACUGGAACUGAGACACGGUCCAGACUCCUACGGGAGGCAGCAGUGGGGAAUUUUGGACAAUGGGGGCAACCCUGAUCCAGCCAUGCCGCGUGAGUGAAGAAGGCCUUCGGGUUGUAAAGCUCUUUCGGCCGGGAAGAAAUCGCAUGGGCCAAUACCCUGUGUGGAUGACGGUACCGGAAUAAGAAGCACCGGCUAACUACGUGCCAGCAGCCGCGGUAAUACGUAGGGUGCGAGCGUUAAUCGGAAUUACUGGGCGUAAAGCGUGCGCAGGCGGUUUUGUAAGACAGGCGUGAAAUCCCCGGGCUCAACCUGGGAACUGCGUUUGUGACUGCAAGGCUAGAGUACGGCAGAGGGGGGUGGAAUUCCACGUGUAGCAGUGAAAUGCGUAGAGAUGUGGAGGAACAUCAAUGGCGAAGGCAGCCCCCUGGGUCGAUACUGACGCUCAUGCACGAAAGCGUGGGUAGCAAACAGGAUUAGAUACCCUGGUAGUCCACGCCCUAAACUAUGUCAACUAGGUGUUGGGUGGGUAAAACCGUUUAGUACCGUAGCUAACGCGUGAAGUUGACCGCCUGGGGAGUACGGCCGCAAGGUUAAAACUCAAAGGAAUUGACGGGGACCCGCACAAGCGGUGGAUGAUGUGGAUUAAUUCGAUGCAACGCGAAAAACCUUACCUACCCUUGACAUGCCAGGAACUUGCCAGAGAUGGCUUGGUGCCCGAAAGGGAGCCUGGACACAGGUGCUGCAUGGCUGUCGUCAGCUCGUGUCGUGAGAUGUUGGGUUAAGUCCCGCAACGAGCGCAACCCUUGUCGUUAAUUGCCAUCAUUUAGUUGGGCACUUUAGCGAGACUGCCGGUGACAAACCGGAGGAAGGUGGGGAUGACGUCAAGUCCUCAUGGCCCUUAUGGGUAGGGCUUCACACGUCAUACAAUGGCCGGUACAGAGGGUCGCCAAGCCGCGAGGUGGAGCCAAUCCCAGAAAGCCGAUCGUAGUCCGGAUUGCAGGCUGCAACUCGCCUGCAUGAAGUCGGAAUCGCUAGUAAUCGUGGAUCAGCAUGUCACGGUGAAUACGUUCCCGGGUCUUGUACACACCGCCCGUCACACCAUGGGAGCGGGUUCCGCCAGAAGUAGGUAGCCUAACCGCAAGGAGGGCGCUUACCACGGCGGGGUUCGUGACUGGGGUGAAGUCGGAACAAGGUA
rnacentral:rRNA from 1 species